GGCGCGUUGUUUUUGAAUUUAAAAAGCACGGAGCACGCGACGAAAGGAAAAGGGCAAACAAAGGCAAUCAAACAAACACACACACAAACCCCAUAAAUAAAUAAACGAGGCCAAAGCAGCGCCCCCUUCCAGAGGACGGUUUAAAGGGAAGCGCAGGGGCAAGCAAAGACACACAAAGACACACGCGUGCACAAAUACGGCAAAAGCGUGGCGGCCCCCCCCCCCGCUUCCAAAGACAAGCAAAAGGGCAAGCCAAUAAAAGGGAGGCAAAAGCAUGGCCCCCCCCUUCCCAAGAACGAGGGAAACGGAUCCGUGUCGUCCGUUGAAGUUCUCCUGUCACUGGGUGUACAAAACCAGAAAUAAAAUAAAAUAAAAUAAUCUUCUCUUCCUUCCCCUCAGCUGCAUCCUGAGGGGAAAAGGGACACAUACCCCGCUCCUCUCAGUGGCCUUUCUUCUCUCCUUUGGGCUGAGGGGGAAAGUUGUAUGUGCCUCAAAACCUCAGAAAACGAAAGAAAGAAGGAAAAAAAGGAAUCCCAUACACCUUGAGGACCGAGUGGAUAGAUGUCUGAAUCACUUUCCUGGGAUCAACACUUAUCUUUCUGCUAUUGAAUCCACUUGCUUUGUUUGGUUCCUUAUAGACAUGCUGCAACAUUGGCUAUAUGUGCGGUAUCGGAAGCCAUUAAUGUUUUAUUCAUCUUAUGUUAAAUGUAUUUUUAUCUACUUUAUGUAUUUAUUUUUGCUGCUUUUCUUUUUGUAUGCUGGCCUUGGGCCGAAAUAAACAAUACAAUACAAUACAAUA